rnacentral:rRNA from 1 species
UACGGAGGAUCCGAGCGUUAUCCGGAUUUAUUGGGUUUAAAGGGUGCGCAGGCGGGUUGAUAAGUCAGCGGUGAAAGUUUGCAGCUUAACUGUAAAAUUGCCGUUGAAACUGUCGAUCUUGAGUGCAAAUGAGGUAAGCGGAAUGUGUUGUGUAGCGGUGAAAUGCUUAGAUAUAACACAGAACACCGAUUGCGAAGGCAGCUUACUGGGAUGCAACUGACGCUCAUGCACGAAAGCGUGGGGAUCAAACAGG